CCUACGGGUGGCAGCAGUGAGGAAUAUUGGUCAAUGGGAGAGAUCCUGAACCAGCCAAGCCGCGUGAGGGAAGACGGCUCUAUGGGUUGUAAACCCCUUUUGUCGGAGAACAAAACCCGGGACGUGUCCCGGACUGCGCGUAUCCGGCGAAAAAGCAUCCGCCAACUCCGGGCCAGCAGCCGCGGUAAUACGGGGGGUGCAAGCCUUAUCCGGAUUUAUUGGGUUGAAAGGGUGCGUAGGCUGUGAGGUAAGUCAGCGGUGAAAUGCCCCCGCUCAACGGGGUGAAGUGCCAUUGAUACUGCCUUGCUAGAAUGCGGAUGCGGUGAGAGGAAUGUGUGGUGUAGCGGUGAAAUGCAUAGAUAUCACGCAGAACACCGGUUGCGAAGGCAUCUCACGAGUCCGCGAUUGACGCUGAUGCACGAAAGCGUGGGUAGCAAACAGGAUUAGAUACCCUGGUAGUC
rnacentral:rRNA from 1 species